rnacentral:rRNA from 1 species
AGAGUUUGAUCAUGGCUCAGAAUCAACGCUGGCGGCGUGCCUAACACAUGCAAGUCGCACGAGAAAGGGUAGCAAUACCUGAGUACAGUGGCGCACGGGUGAGUAACACGUGAAUAAUCUACCUCCGAGUGGGGAAUAACUUAGGGAAACCUGAGCUAAUACCGCAUAACACUUACGAGUCAAAGCAGCAAUGCGCUUGGAGAGGAGUUCGCGGCAGAUUAGUUAGUUGGCGGGGUAAUGGCCCACCAAGACGAUGAUCUGUAUCCGGCCUGAGAGGGCGCACGGACACACUGGAACUGAAACACGGUCCAGACUCCUACGGGAGGCAGCAGUGGGGAAUUUUGCGCAAUGGGGGAAACCCUGACGCAGCAACGCCGCGUGGAGGAUGAAAUCCCUUGGGAUGUAAACUCCUUUCGAUCGGGACGAUUAUGACGGUACCGAAAGAAGAAGCCCCGGCUAACUUCGUGCCAGCAGCCGCGGUAAUACGAGGGGGGCGAGCGUUGUUCGGAAUUAUUGGGCGUAAAGGGUGCGUAGGCGGUUUGAUAAGUCUGAUGUGAAAUCUAUGGGCUCAACCCAUAGUCUGCAUUAGAAACUGUCGGGCUUGAGUAUGGGAGAGGUGAGUGGAAUUUCCGGUGUAGCGGUGAAAUGCGUAGAUAUCGGAAGGAACACCUGUGGCGAAAGCGGCUCACUGGACCAUUACUGACGCUGAUGCACGAAAGCUAGGGGAGCAAACAGGAUUAGAUACCCUAGUAGUCC